AGCACAUGUCAGUUGCCUUCUGUUAUCCAUACAACAAUUUUCAGAGUGGGGUGGGGAGGCAGAUAGAUUUUAUGACUAUUUGGUAGAUAAAUAGACUGAGAUACAGGGAAGCUAACUAUAGUUAGGUCAUUGCUUAAGGCCAUAUCAUUAGUUGAUGGCUGAGUUGGGACUGGAACUCAGGACUGCUUACACCCAAUACUGUCCUUAUAUAACAGAUUAAAAUCCCUUUCUCCUCUUGGUUGCCUUCUUCUGAACAUUCUCUAGCUCAUCAAUGACCUUGAAUUCUGAUGCCCCAACACAAUAUGAUUCUCUAGAAAUGAUCUUAUUCUGGGAAACUAUGCCUUUCUUCAUGUCACCCCAAAUCUCACAAGCUUUUAUUGGUUGUCACCUCAUGCUGCUGAGUCAUUUUGAGCUUGCUGUUCACUAAUCCCCCUGACCAUUUUUCCAGACAAACUGUUGUUUAACCACACCCCUCUCUGUCCACCCCCUAUCUUCUACUGUGGAAGAUGACUUUUGAAAUUCAAUGGUAACAUAGAGUGGAACCAGAUUGUAAAGGCUUUAAACACUAAUCUUUGAGAUAAGAGAGAACCCUGAAGUUAUUUUUUUAAAUAGGGAAAUUAUAUUGUCAUACUCAUUCUUUAGUAAUCUCAAUUUGUCACUUUAAUGGAAGAUAGAUUAGAAAGCAUAGAGACUGAUUCAGUGACACAGAAGAGGAAGCUAUUAUAUUCAGGCAAGAAAAGGGAUAAGGUCUUAUCUAAGAUGGUGGUAUAUGGCUGUCACUAUUCUUCACAUUCACUUACUAAAAACCACAAUGAGAGGAGGAGGAGAAGGAGGAGAAGGAGGAGGAAGAGGAGAAGGAGAAGGAGGAGGAAGAAGAGGAGGAGGAAGAGGAGAAGGAGGAGGAGGAAUAGGAGAAGGAGGAGGAAGAGGAGGAGAAGGAGAAAGAAGGAGAAGGAGAAGGAGAAGGAGAAGGAGAAGGAGAAGGAGAAGGAGAAGGAGAAGGAGAAGGAGAAGGAGAAGGAGAAGGAGAAGGAGAAGAAGAAGGAGAAGAAGAAGAAGAAGAAGAAGAAGAAGAGAGAGAGAGAGAGAGAGAGAGAGAGAGAGAGAGAGAGAGAGAGAGAGAGAGAGAGAGAGAGAGAGAGAGAGAGAGACUGUGAGAGGGAGGGAGAAGAAAGGAAGAGGGAGAGGGGGAGAGAAAAAGCCAAAGAGACAAAAACGGGGGGUGGGGGAGAGAGAGAGAGAGAGAGAGAGAGAGAGAGAGAGAGAGAGAGAGAAGAGGGGGAAUGAAUCUAGGAAAGCCUGCCUUGUAAGCUUGUGGGCUCUGCUCUCAGUAGAGGUUUUUAAGCUGCUGU
rnacentral:lncRNA from 1 species